UGGUCCAAACCAUCCAAUCAGCGGGAUACUAAAAUGAAGGUACAAGAUCACUCCUGGAACAUAGGUCCAAUUUCAUGUAUAGGGCCAUAGGAUUGCUGUGACUUUUGCACAGUAGUGGACAAAGAAGGUGCUGGACCUAAUGGAUGGCUCAGAUAUGUGAUCUAAAUGCCAAUCAGUCCAAAUGCAACUAUGUGCAUUGUAAGGUUUCAAUGUACUUGCCCACUAGAUCACUACUCUUCUUCUGAUCCACAAUCAUGUUUCGGAUAGAAGAAAAUAACCCAACAAAGAUUUCUAGCAAUCAGAAGUCUACUUUCAAACACAUUUAAAGGUUCUUAAUCAUGCAAAAACAUUUGAAAACAUUGCUCAAAAAUAGAAAAUAUCAUAUCAAUCCAAAGAGGAAAAUUGUAGUAAUAGACGAAAACAUAGCUUGUAGAAUUGAAAGACAUGAUUGGCAUUUUGAGUUAAGUUUCGAGAUUUUAAACAUUGCAUUUAACUAUUGAUGUUCCAAGCUGGUAUUAGAUAACGCACACACACAAUGCAAUUCUUCUA